UUUGAAUAUAAACCCGUAUUGAGAAUAACCAAUUAAUUUGAAACCAAACCAGACCUGACACAGAUGUUAGAAUUAGCCAACAAGUACAUUGAAAGCUAUUAUAAUUGUAUUCUAUGUGUUUAAAAAUUUAAGUGGAGACGGAAGAUAUAGCGAAGAGCCCAAUUAAACAUCUAGAGAUGCAAACCACAAUGUCUAAGGUGAAACUUUAUUAUAGGCUAAGAAUGAAGAAAUGUUGUCGGCCUAUCAAAAUGGAGUUACUGUUAACAAACAUUUAUGAAAAAUAUUCACCUCACUACAUCAAAGGUGCUAAAACAAUGUACCUGCAUUUAUCAGAAGAGGCUGAUGGACUACAUCCAUGGGGUACUUUGUCCUCUGGCUUCCAAUUAGAUUCAGACAACAGGAAGCAUCAACAGCUAAUGGGAGACGAAGAGGAAAAAUUGGGGUACCUAUUCCCCUAGAUUACUCCCUGCUGAUUGCUGCAGAGGGGCUUCAUCCUUGCCCUGGUUUCUGGAAAACACUCUUUCAUUGCCCAUGCAGGCCUAGGAGUGAUGAUGCCUCACUGGAUGGCAAAGUCUCUUAUUGGUUUCCCUAAAUCUUACUCACAACUUGUAGAUACUCCCUCUAUUAAAUCCUUUUCAGUUACCCAG
rnacentral:lncRNA from 1 species